rnacentral:sRNA from 1 species
UUGACAGGCGUUGGGAUGAAAUCCUUUCCAAACUGAUAUAGCAAGUGAAGAAGCAUCACAAGCGUCCCCAUUUUCCCACUAAUUGCCUUAACCCUGUGCUAGAGGGACUAGCUCUAAUGGGCAGAGAGUGUUCAGUCUCCAUGGCCCAUGCACUCCUUGGCCUUG